rnacentral:rRNA from 1 species
AGGUCUUCGGAUCGUAAAACUCUGUUAUUAGGGAAGAACAAAUGUAGUAAGUAACUAUGCACGUCUUGACGGUACCUAAUCAGAAAGCCACGGCUAACUACGUGCCAGCAGCCGCGGUAAUACGUAGGUGGCAAGCGUUAUCCGGAAUUAUUGGGCGUAAAGCGCGCGUAGGCGGUUUUUUAAGUCUGAUGUGAAAGCCCACGGCUCAACCGUGGAGGGUCAUUGGAAACUGGAAAACUUGAGUGCAGAAGAGGAAAGUGG